UACAGAGGGUGCGAGCGUUGUUCGGAAUUAUUGGGCGUAAAGGGCUCGUAGGCGGUUUGUCGCGUCGGGAGUGAAAACCUCGGGCUUAACUCGGGGCUUGCUUUCGAUACGGGCAGACUAGAGGUAUGCAGGGGAGAACGGAAUUCCUGGUGUAGCGGUGAAAUGCGCAGAUAUCAGGAGGAACACCGGUGGCGAAGGCGGUUCUCUGGGCAUGAUCUGACGCUGAGGAGCGAAAGUGUGGGGAGCGAACAGG
rnacentral:rRNA from 1 species